UUUCUCCUCAUGCAGACUACUUGUUUAUGUUUUAAAAUGGCUUGGAUAGGAAAGAUGCCAUUUUUGUCGUAGUACCACUUUAAAAUAACUGGAUUUAUUUUACAUUUAACUUCAAGCAAAAAACUAGCAUGUCUUCAUUUACCUGUAAAUAUAUUAUGUUGUCCUGGGUUAUGUAAUCUUCAGAAGAGUGUACUUUGCUUUGUCAUAGUGGCUGUGAAAAGUACCUAGGUACAUUUGGAUUUAUCUAAUUGAUUGAUUGUACAAAUAACAUGCAUAGAUUUUAAGUAUUUAAAUCAAAUAUGCUAUCCUAGGUGAGGCAUACUCUGCAACUGGAAAUAUUGAUGAGGCAGAAAAAUGGUACAAAGAAUCACUAAAGAGUAAACCAGAUCACUUGUCUGUACAUCUCACAUACGCCAAACAUCUUGCUAAAAUAGGCCACUUCACUGAAGCAGAGGAUUGGUUUAAGAAAGCACAGGCGUUGAAUAAAUCAGAUCACGGUUCCUGGACUCAUUAUGGCCAGUUUUUGUAUGAUCAGAAGCGAGUGGUUGAGGCAGCUGCAAUGUUUACAAAGGCAAUGGAGUUAGCUCCUGGUGAUUUUGAGAUUGCAUUUACUGCUGCUGGAUAUCUUAGAGAAAUUGGAGACAAUGUGAAGGCAGAAAAAUGUUAUAAGACAGCAGUCCAGUUAAAUCCAGAG